UUUAUGGAGAGUUUGAUCCUGGCUCAGGAUGAACGCUGGCGGCGUGCCUAAUACAUGCAAGUCGAGCGAACGGACGAGAAGCUUGCUUCUCUGAUGUUAGCGGCGGACGGGUGAGUAACACGUGGAUAACCUACCUAUAAGACUGGGAUAACUUCGGGAAACCGGAGCUAAUACCGGAUAAUAUUUUGAACCGCAUGGUUCAAAAGUGAAAGACGGUCUUGCUGUCACUUAUAGAUGGAUCCGCGCUGCAUUAGCUAGUUGGUAAGGUAACGGCUUACCAAGGCAACGAUGCAUAGCCGACCUGAGAGGGUGAUCGGCCACACUGGAACUGAGACACGGUCCAGACUCCUACGGGAGGCAGCAGUAGGGAAUCUUCCGCAAUGGGCGAAAGCCUGACGGAGCAACGCCGCGUGAGUGAUGAAGGUCUUCGGAUCGUAAAACUCUGUUAUUAGGGAAGAACAUAUGUGUAAGUAACUGUGCACAUCUUGACGGUACCUAAUCAGAAAGCCACGGCUAACUACGUGCCAGCAGCCGCGGUAAUACGUAGGUGGCAAGCGUUAUCCGGAAUUAUUGGGCGUAAAGCGCGCGUAGGCGGUUUUUUAAGUCUGAUGUGAAAGCCCACGGCUCAACCGUGGAGGGUCAUUGGAAACUGGAAAACUUGAGUGCAGAAGAGGAAAGUGGAAUUCCAUGUGUAGCGGUGAAAUGCGCAGAGAUAUGGAGGAACACCAGUGGCGAAGGCGACUUUCUGGUCUGUAACUGACGCUGAUGUGCGAAAGCGUGGGGAUCAAACAGGAUUAGAUACCCUGGUAGUCCACGCCGUAAACGAUGAGUGCUAAGUGUUAGGGGGUUUCCGCCCCUUAGUGCUGCAGCUAACGCAUUAAGCACUCCGCCUGGGGAGUACGACCGCAAGGUUGAAACUCAAAGGAAUUGACGGGGACCCGCACAAGCGGUGGAGCAUGUGGUUUAAUUCGAAGCAACGCGAAGAACCUUACCAAAUCUUGACAUCCUUUGACAACUCUAGAGAUAGAGUUUUCCCCUUCGGGGGACAAAGUGACAGGUGGUGCAUGGUUGUCGUCAGCUCGUGUCGUGAGAUGUUGGGUUAAGUCCCGCAACGAGCGCAACCCUUAAGCUUAGUUGCCAUCAUUAAGUUGGGCACUCUAAGUUGACUGCCGGUGACAAACCGGAGGAAGGUGGGGAUGACGUCAAAUCAUCAUGCCCCUUAUGAUUUGGGCUACACACGUGCUACAAUGGACAAUACAAAGGGCAGCGAAACCGCGAGGUCAAGCAAAUCCCAUAAAGUUGUUCUCAGUUCGGAUUGUAGUCUGCAACUCGACUACAUGAAGCUGGAAUCGCUAGUAAUCGUAGAUCAGCAUGCUACGGUGAAUACGUUCCCGGGUCUUGUACACACCGCCCGUCACACCACGAGAGUUUGUAACACCCGAAGCCGGUGGAGUAACCUUUUAGGAGCUAGCCGUCGAAGGUGGGACAAAUGAUUGGGGUGAAGUCGUAACAAGGUAGCCGUAUCGGAAGGUGCGGCUGGAUCACCUCCUUU
rnacentral:rRNA from 1 species